GCCCAAAUUCUCUAGAUUACAGAGCCUGGGGUCAAAAUUAAAGUGCUGAUUCUUUUUUGUGGGUGGAGGCCGAGUUUAGGAAGGUAAAAGUGAAGAAAAAGGCACAUCAAGCAAUGCAACAUGAUGCAUUACCAUGCCAGCAAGGACUUCCAACAAACCAUGAUGAGAAACAGCAGGCCACUUAGCAGGUUUGUGCCACUAGAAGAUAACUCUCCCGUACUUCAGUGCAACUUCAGUGAUGCAUCACCCAGUCCGUUGACACCAGCUCCAGAAGGAAGAUUCCGUGCCCUGUGUUACGGCAUUUCGUCCUGAGAGGAAGAAGCGAAGCAGUGCAGGUGGGAGGAUGUGCGGGCCGCGCUGGUCUGAGCUUCAGUUCUGACUCCAGGGAGCUCAGCAGAGGCGGCAGCAGUCCAGGAGCCCUGGAUAAAGUCAUCUGCCAAUCCACAGAUAGGCUAACCACAGCAAAUGGCCAGUUAUUGUAUGUAUUAACAUACAUGACGUCUUGAUUUUUCUUUGACAGGCAAGACCCUCCACCAGCAAAUGGAUCAUGGCUCCCUUUAUUGCUGUGCUCACUUUAUUGCUGUACUCACUUUAUUGCAGUGGUCUGGAACCAAACCCACAGCAUCUCUGAGGUAUGUC